rnacentral:rRNA from 1 species
UACGUAGGGGGCUAGCGUUGUCCGGAUUUAUUGGGCGUAAAGAGCGUGUAGGCGGCCAGGUAGGUCCGUUGUGAAAACUCGAGGCUCAACCUCGAGACGCCGAUGGAAACCCCCUGACUAGAGUCCGGAAGAGGAGAGUGGAAUUCCUGGUGUAGCGGUGAAAUGCGCAGAUAUCAGGAAGAACACCCGUGGCUAAGGCGGCUCUCUAGUACGGUACUGACGCUGAGACGCGAAAGCGUGGGGAGCGAACAGG